UUCCAUUUCACUAAAAAAUUAGCUUAUUAUCACAAUAAUUGUCAUUGAGAACAUUAUUUUCUUCAGGAUAUUUUUUGGUGAGAAAAAACUAAUGCAAUGCUAUAUUAUGACUAUUAAUUCCUUAAACAAAACUAAUUAACUGCGGUUUAUCUCAGCCAGAUCUCUCUCUUUUAGCUGCUGGGUAUAAACCAUAUCUAAUUACUUCAAUGGCAUCACCACCUUCAUCAUCCUCUACUGUUUCUGAUUUCAUGAGUGCAGGGAGUACUGGUGGCUUCCUUAGCAGUAAUAUUGAAGAUAAAAUAAUAAUGGAAGAGUUGAUGAUGAAGAAAGCAGAACCCUGUGACCAUGGGGGUGUUGAAGAGAGUGGAUAUGGGCCAUGCAAAAUCAACAAGGAAUACCUUCCCCCGGUGGCUUUGUUGGGAAAACCAGCCAAAUCUUAUGCCUUGGAAGUUAGUCAAGAGUACACUAAUGGGAGGCUGAUAAUUGGAGCUGAGAUACUGAAAAAUCAUCAGUACUUUGAAGCAUAUAGAGUUAAUAACAGGCUUACCUUGAAUCUGGUGUAUGAAACCAUCAAGUUUCCUGGGAGUGUUGAGAGCCAUGGGAUGGAUUCAUCCAGAAGACAAAAGGAGCACUGAAGGCCUCAAAUGAUGAAUAAUUCCCUGAAAUUCAGUCAUAAAACUGUUAGCAGCAGAGAGAAGGGGUUAAAAAGCUGCAUAAAUCAAUGAAUUAUAGAAAUAAACUCCAAACAUUCCCAUUUGAGAUGGCAUUAUUGAACAACCAAGGAACUAUCGGAUCAUACAUACACCCAAAAAGAAAUUAAUAAAUAAAUAAAUACCUCAGAAACUAUAAAAAAAUAAUCCGCAAUUUGGUAAAACAGACUAAUUCUUUCAGUUUGCAAGUAACUGAAUGUCUAGUAAAGAAGAGUUCUUAUCAAUAUUAAUCAUUGUGACAAAUAACCAAGAAGCUGACUUCAGGGUCCCUUCAUUUUAUGCAGUCCCACAGCAGAUGGCGUAAAACCAUUGCACUAUUAUUACACACUUUGCACAUCGAAUCAUGCCUGCAAAAAGCUAGCGUACUUUGCGCCUAGGAAAAGCCUUUGAAUGCAGAGUAGAGCAUUUUUGGUAACUUCAGCAUUUUCAUGGUUCAUCAGUUUCAUUGCCCGUUCCUUGGCCUUGAGGUCUGUCACUAUAAUCCGCCCAGCAGGGUGGUGCUGGAUAAAUUGUGAGAGAUCAAAGCAAGCAACAGUAAAUUGU
rnacentral:misc_RNA from 1 species